rnacentral:rRNA from 1 species
GUAGCUAUCAACUCUGCAGCCACCGGUUUCCGUCCGAUCACUAAAGUUAAACAGUUGCGGGACUGGUUUGUAUCCGCAUGGGUGGACGACUGAGAAUACUGGGUGUGACAGUG